CCGCGAAACCGAAGACACCAACCCAGGCUACCUAGCACAGCGGCGAUUCUGACUCUGUUCACUUCUCCUCCUCCUCCAAUCGUCCUCUCGGUCACCGAGCUCCAGGAGUCCCGGCCUCCAGUUAUUCGGCAGUUGGGCGGCUCGGCCAUUUGAAAUUGAAAUUGAAUCAGUCAGGUUAAAGAGUUCUUGGGUGUGUAGGGUGUGCUGAGAUUUGUGGCACUGUGCGUGUGAAUCAACAUUGAAAUUACAGUAAAGAUGUUAUAACUUCUAAGCUUUUAUAAAACCCAGCAACUGCUCACUAUAAAAGUUAGUAUUGAGAAGCAGAUGGCCACAAUUCCACAAAUGAAAGCUUGAAAAAAAACAAGGAAAAAAGCAAGGAUAGCAGAUGGGCUGCUACCACUAUCAGAUGAUCUACGAUAUGGCAAGACCUUGGUCGAAUAUUGUAUCAGAAAUCAGAAGUGCUUCAUAAUCAUAGAUGUUGGGUGGGAGCGCGGGGUAAUCAAAAGCUGUUUGAAUUUCCGUAAAUAGAGACAACAGUGGGAGCAAAGAGGAAAGCAUGGAUACCAGCAGGAUUAAAGGUAGUGCUCAGAACCGAGUUGCACAAUUUAUGGUUUAAACAUAUCUGUUGGCACUAUCACCACGUUUGUGAUAUGUUCUGGAGGGAAGUCUCAGCUGUUACUUUUCGGCACAUUGCAUUUCUACUCUGAAAUUAUCUUUGAGCAGUUGCCUAUUCAGCUUAUAGUUAGUCAUGGAAGUUUCAUUUUGAUACGGAACUUCAACUGGUCUGUUCGGCAGUUGCCUAUUCAGUACAGAAAAUGUUUUGGAAGUUGCACUUUGAUUUGAAACUUCAAAUGGCCUGUUUAGCAGCUCCGUAUUUAGCUUAUAUGUAUUGUGCAACUGGGUUUAGACAUAGUAGUUGCAUUGCUAUAAAUAGGAAUUCCGUGGGGCUCAAUACUUUGCGGAUGAAAAUAGUUUAACAUUGGAAGUUGGAAGUUAAGUAGUAUGGUUUAGCUGCGGAAGAUAACAGUCUUUCCUAUGUAUUAGAACUGUAGUAAUAUCUUUACAAAGCAAUAACAUGCAAGCACUCUAGUAUGUAUGUUAUUUUAUAUUUUGCUCUGAUUUUAGAUCUGAACCACUUUGUUUAUAAAUGAGUCAUUGAGCCUAUGUUUGGACAAAAGAGAGACACUGCUAAAUUAAUUUGUUAUUGAAGAUACAGAUCAUUUCAUUUAUUUAAAUUGCUAUUGUGGUGCUUCUUAACUGAACUAGCACACAAGGCCGACUCAAUACACUUGAUCACCUUAUUUAUGUUAAUAAGUCGUACUGAAGGUUUAAGUAGGUUAUAAAUUUUUGCUGUGAGCUUUAAGUAUCUCAGGGUGACCUAUCUGGUUCUUUUGAGUGUUAUUUUACUUGAAAACGAAGAUAAUUGUAUAUCUAAAAGUUAGGAUAUGGUAGUUGGUAUUGUUAUGCUAUUAAUGAUGUCAUAUUAGCAGUGUUUUAUUUUCAUCUCAUUUCAUUUCAUCUACUUAAGUAGUAUUGUAGGA